rnacentral:rRNA from 1 species
UACGGGAGGCAGCAGUGGGGAAUAUUGCACAAUGGGCGAAAGCCUGAUGCAGCUAUGCCGCGUGUAUGAAGAAGGCCUUAGGGUUGUAAAGUACUUUCAUCGGGGAGGAAAAACAAAACUAAUAAUUUUAUUUUCUUUGACGUUACCCGAAAAAGAAGCACCGGCUAACUCCGUGCCAGCAGCCGCGGUAAUACGGAGGGUGCUAGCGUUAAUCAGAAUUACUGGGCGUAAAGAGCACGUAGGGUGGUUUUUUUAAAGUCAGAUGUGAAAUCCCUGGGCUUAACCUAGGAACUGCAUUUUGAAACUGAAAUACUAGAGUAUCGUAGAGGGAGGUAGAAUUCUAGGUGUAGCGGUGAAAUGCGUAGAUAUCUGGAGGAAUACCUGUGGCGAAAGCGGCCUCCUAAACGAAUACUGACACUGAGGUGCGAAAGCGUGGGGAGCAAACAGGGAUUAGGAU